rnacentral:rRNA from 1 species
GUUCUAGUGUGAGGUUAACGUUUUAGUUUGUAGAGUUUUCUUGAUUAGUUACUAAAGGGGGUUCAUUUUCGUUAAUUGCCAUUAGUUUAUCUAAUGUGGCUUAGACUUACAUUUUGGAGAAAAGUUAUUUCUUGUUACUAGUUCUAGCAUAAUAUCUUCCAUAUUUUUAUGGAAUUACUCAAUAUUGGAGAGGGGUUUUAGAUGGUUUGAGGAAUUAGAAAAAGAAAAUGUUAAGCUUUGACGCUUUUGUUUAAGGUGGCUGCUUUUAGGCCCACUAACCAUUUUAUUUUUGAUGUAUUACCCUAUGAUAAAGGUUGUAUCCUGUUUCAAAUAAGCUGUGCCUUAUUUGAAUAGCUCUUAAGUUUUAUUAAGGUUUAGAAGGACUAAAAUAAACUUAAGGUUGAACUUAUAUUCUUUUCUUGAGUAACCAGCUAUUUCUGAGUGCGGUAGGUUUAUCACCGCUACUUGGAAAUCUUCCCACUCUAUUGCAACAGAGACGGGUUGGCUCUUAUGGCUGUUUCGAAGUAGCUCACAUCAGUUUCGGGGAGUUAAACUUAAAAUUCGUUUUGCUUAAUUAAACUAGCUAGACCAUGAUGCCAA